rnacentral:rRNA from 1 species
UACGUAGGGGGCAAGCGUUGUCCGGAAUUAUUGGGCGUAAAGAGCUCGUAGGCGGCUUGUUGCGUCGACUGUGAAAACCCGCGGCUUAACCGUGGGCUUGCAGUUGAUACGGGCAGGCUAGAGUUCGGUAGGGGAGACUGGAAUUCCUGGUGUAGCGGUGAAAUGCGCAGAUAUCAGGAGGAACACCGGUGGCGAAGGCGGGUCUCUGGGCCGAUACUGACGCUGAGGAGCGAAAGCGUGGGGAGCGAACAGG